rnacentral:miRNA from 1 species
AGGGAGGGUCUUUGUCACUGAGU